rnacentral:lncRNA from 1 species
UCAUAUUUAAUCCAUCACCAAAUUCAAUUUAUAUGAUUUUUAGUAAAUUUUCAAACUCAUGUCAGAGUUGCUGCAAUAUUCUGUUUAUGGCAAAUUUCAUCUUUUCAUGAGUUUUUAUGAUCUAGAUAACAUAUUAAACUUCCAUGACAUCAAACAUGAUCUAACUUAGCAUUUUCCAUGACUUAUCAUUAUUAAGCAUUUUCUCAACCAAAUCAUGGCCUUAUCACAAAAUUAUUUACACAAAAUAGGUGUAUUGCUAUACAUGCCAUACUUAAGUUUUACAAGCCAUUUACCAAAAAGAGUCCUUCGGAUAGUGUGAUCGAACCUUCGACCUGUCCCGAUUCCUAAGCCGGCUUAUUCAAAACUACAAUGAAAAGGAGGGAAUAAGCAUAAAUGCUUAGUAAGUCAUAUGCAAAUAACAAGUAACAUAACAAUACAAUUAUACCAAACAACCUUAGCAUGGUAUCACCAAAACAUAUAUCACAUUUCUAAACAUCAUUAAUCAUCUUACCGCCUUAUCGUUGUUGUAUCUAUUUUCAACCCGAAGGUUAAGUACAUACCUGUCCAAAGUGUCCAUUUCACAAUACUUACCAAUACGUCACCGGCAUCUUAAGUGUUCUUCCAUUUCACUAGAAAUUUUACCCGUUGAACACAUUGGACUAUUACUCGGAUACAUGGAUAAUUUGCACAUAAGUGCCACAUUUGUAGCCAAGCUACCAUGUAACCCGCCCAUAAGUGAACUCGGACUCAACUCAAUGAGCUCGGGCGUUCACAUCCAUAAGUGAACUCGGACUCAACUCAACGAGUUCGGAUGCCUAGUUACAUCUCAUGAACUCGGACUCAACUCAACGAGUUCGGACAUUUCACAUCCAUAAGUGAACUCGGACUCAACUCAACAAGUUCGGAUGUUCAACCAUCCUAGUGACAUGUCACUUGUAUCCUAAUCUAUUCCUAAGGUUCAAACGGGAUUUUCCUCGAACACAUCUCCUUGCCAUCUUCCGUAAAAUACCAAAACCAAUACUCGGUAGCACUUUAUAUUUAACAAAUAAUACACUUAAUUUGCAUUUUAUUCGAAAAUAACCACAAAGCAUAUAUUUCAUGAUAAAAAUCAGCAUAUCAUAUAUUUAACAUCAAUAGCUUAAAAAUAACAAUUAUGCUACCUUAUUUACACAUGAACUUAUCUCGGUACAAAAUUUUUAACAAUCGAGCCUAUUCCUCGUAAACUUUGUUUUUCUCUCAAUCACGACUUGAAUCUCGUUUCUCUUGAUCUCUAUUACCAAAUUAAUCUUAUUUAAUACAUACAUUCAUUAAAACAGUCCUUAAUACGAACUUUGGAAAAAUUACCAUUUUACCCCUAAACUUUUGCAUAAUUACACUUUUGCCCCUAGGCUCGGGAAUUAAACUUCAUCUCUUAUUAUUAUGUUUUAUGACAUUCUGAUCAUUUUUUCCUUCUAUGGCAACAUCAAAUUCUCACUCUAACAUGUAUUUAUGACUACUAAAUAUUUUUACCGAUUAAGCCUUUUUACUCGUUUUUACUCAAAACCGAGUAGCACAAGUUGUCUAACAAAAUUUAAAACCUCAUAUUCUGUCAUAAAAUACCAAAAUACACAAAUUUCACCUAUGGGUAUUUUUCCAAAUAUGAACCAUAGGUUGAAUUAUUGUUAACAUAAGCUAAAUCGAGCUACCGGGAUUUCAAAAACAUAAAAAUCAUUAAAAACGGGGCUUGAAAUCACUUACUAUGAAGUUUGAAAGUUGAAGAAACCCAGCUAUGGAGGAGAGCAAAAAUCGGCAGAACAGCAUGGAGAAGAU